ACGCUCGACACCUACGGAGGCAGCAGUGGGGAAUAUUGCACAAUGGGGGAAACCCUGAUGCAGCGACGCCGCGUGAGCGAAGAAGUAUUUCGGUAUGUAAAGCUCUAUCGGCAGGGAAGAUAAUGACGGUACCUGACUAAGAAGCUCCGGCUAAAUACGUGCCAACAGCCGCGGUAAUCUGAGCGGGCUGGCAAGGC
rnacentral:rRNA from 1 species